UACGGGGGGGGCAAGCGUUGUUCGGAAUUACUGGGCGUAAAGGGUUUGUAGGUGGCUUGUUAAGUCAGACGUGAAAUCCCUCGGCUUAACCGGGGAACUGCGUCUGAUACUGGACGGCUUGAGUUUGGGAGAGGGACGCGGAAUUCCAGGUGUAGCGGUGAAAUGCGUAGAUAUCUGGAGGAACACCGGUGGCGAAGGCGGCGUCCUGGACCAACACUGACACUGAGGAGCGAAAGCCAGGGGAGCAAACGGG
rnacentral:rRNA from 1 species